CACGUAGGGGGCGAGCGUUGUCCGGAUUUAUUGGGCGUAAAGAGCUCGUAGGCGGUUUGGCAAGUCGGGUGUGAAAUUUCGAGGCUCAACCUCGAAACGCCACUCGAUACUGCCAUGACUGGAGUCCGGUAGAGGAGUGCGGAAUUCCUGGUGUAGCGGUGAAAUGCGCAGAUAUCAGGAGGAACACCGAUGGCGAAGGCAGCUCGCUGGGACGGUACUGACGCUGAGGCGCGAAAGCGUGGGGAGCAAACAGG
rnacentral:rRNA from 1 species